rnacentral:lncRNA from 1 species
CUUUCAUGAUGGGUUACACUACCAGCAGUAGCUGCCUCUCCUAAUGGUUUACACUACCGCAUUGCUUCUACUAUCAGCAUUAGCUACCUCUCCUGAUGGUUUGCACUACCAGCAGUAGCUGCCUCUCCUGAUGGUUUACACUACCAGCAGUGGCUGCCGGACUUUUGAACAGCAGUGGUCAUCUCACCAGUACAUCAGAACCUAGAUGUUGAACGAGUGAUUUGCCACAAAACACCACAUCCUGUGUGUGAUGUCCUUGAAUAUUAUGCUUCACUUUGACAUUACACGCAUCUUACAUUUGCCAUUAGGAAUAUCUGAAUACUUGGCUGUUUUCAUGAUACACUCAAGAAGUUAAGGCCUUAUUUAGAUUGGAUAUAUUCUUGUCUAGCAGGUGAGGAAAGCCUUUCUAUCUAUUUAUUCGAGAAGUUAUUCUGGUUCUCACUAGAGCGACUCCAACCCCUUUGGAUAAAGACAUUGGCUCUAGUGUCCAAUGGGCACGCCCAGCACCCUACCGAAGUACCAAAUGCCUUGCACCUCCAUAUGGUUGACCAGUGAGACAAUGGGGGACAAGCUUCAUCGUCGAGAGGGAAAUAAUUAAAAUGAAUUAAUAAGUUUCUAUUACAUUCAUUCUUUUUAGGCUGUCCGUCCAUAAGGGUCAUUUUUUAUUAAUAAUCAGUUUUUCUUGAUUAGAAACUGUGGGAGAUAGGGCCUUCACCAUUUUUUUUAUCUAUGUUGACCUGUACCGGUAAGUCCUUGCAAGGCCAACCGUAAUAGCCAUUCUAGGUAAGAUUACUGUAUUUUUUGUUAGCGAAACCACCUUGUAGAUUACUUGUAUCCCUGGCAGUGGCAGGAUAAAGUACAAACUAUAUAAUACUUGAACUGAUGCAUAUUUUAAAAUACCC